UUACAUAACCUAUUCUCUUCCUCGUGCUGUAGCCGCCGCCCCUUCUUCCUUCUUCUUCAGCACUCACACUGCAAGCUACUCCAAAUUGGAGGUUGAAACGCUUGCAUCUGAUGCAAAAACUCUGAAUGGAGCCUUGCCGCCAAACCACAACAUUCGAUCCUCUGAAUGCUCAUGAAAUUUCCGAUGGUCGAGUUCAAUUCAGGAAGGUGCCGAUUCCACCUCAUCGGCAUUCACCUCUCAAGAAGACACGGAUGGAUAUUUACAUUAAUAGAUGAAAAUUGACACCCGUAUGAAUCUCCAGGCUCGGAAAGUUGAGCCGAAGACUAGAUCGGACACGCCGGAUGUAGUGUAGUAUCAUUAUCAAAGUGCAUAUAAAAUUGUUGGAAGGCGCAUGGAAUAUCGGCUACCGUUUUACACCGUCGGAUGAAGAGCUACUUCAGAUUCUUGCAAUAAAGCUGAGAGGAGAGUACGAAAUCUUGGGAGGCCAUGCAGUGAAGGAGAUUGAUGUGUACCAGAAGGAGCCAUGGCUGGUUUUCGACAAAGACGAGUCAGAACCCUUCUAUGUAAAGAAAAAUAGCAGCAAGUCACGGAUGGAUAGAAAGUUUGCCUCCGGAACCUGGAGGAUGGAGAGGUCGAUCGACGUUGUAGACCAAGGCGACAAGGUUGUGGGAUAUAAGAAGAUGCUAACUUUUGAGGAGAAGAAGAAGAAGAAGAACAGCGAGAAUGGUAGGUGGAUCAUGCACGAAUUUUCUUUCUUUCUUUCAUUUCUUGAAUCUUGUUUUUUCUCUGUAACUGGGUGUUGGGAUUUGACGGUAUAUUCUCUAACGUUUGUUGGUUUGAAAUAGUGCUUCCUUCUAAUGGUGUCAGUGGCCACAAACUAUAGGAGAUUACCCUAGCACUCAAACUCCAAGGUCCCUACCUUACAGAAAGGAAGAUUAUAUAGACGGGACUGGGGAGUUGUUCAACGCCUAAUGGCGGUAACCCAUUUUCCAAGAUUACUUCCCUGGCUUAUCUUCUUGGAAAAGGAACUGCGGGGGGGCUGGACCAUACACCUAUGUAACUCUUAACUUAUGGCCUACCUGAAAAGAGAACUUGGAAAAGACCCCAGAGUUGGGAGAUACUAGAGCUUUUGUUAGUCUUUCACACACAGUCGCUGUUAUAUAUUAGGUAUACACUGAGGAAGAUAUUGGUGGUCACAACCUGUUUCUUUCUUCCAUGAUCCAUCAUCCGAAGCUCCUCCAACCGAGCCUACUGAGUAGUUAAUGUAGCUAGAAGUAGGAUGAACAAUGUUGAACGAAGAGAAACAUGCAACAUUAUCGAUUUUUAGCCAUUGUAUUCUGCUUGGUAACUAAUGAACGAAUUCAGGUCUGUAAUUUUUAUUUUCUUCUUCCUCUUUAUAUGGAUAUAAUUACAAUAUGUUGUAUUUUCAUCUCUUCAUAAAUGUAAUUGAAAUUGAACAGCAGAAGUAGUCAAUAGUGUAA